AACACAUCAAGUUUUCUGAAAUAUAUUCUCUCUCCUCCCUUAUUUCCUCUUUCCUCCAUAAUUUCAUGGUUUCCUUUCUCACUCCUCUCUCUUUUUCUCUCCUAUCUCUGGUCAUCAAUUCUUAAAGAAAUUGUUAUAAUUAUCAAAUUAAAGUUGAAUUAGCUUCAAUCUUCAUUAAUAACGCCAUCGAUUUUAUGUUGGAGCUAACAAAUCAGCUUUUCUCUUACGAUUUUUAUUUGAUUUCAUAUACACAAUGUUUUAUUUGAGUUUUGAAUUAGUUAUUUGUUUAUUUUUAUCAUCAUCAAAUUGAUUCUUCAAUUGAAUAAUUAGAAGAUUUUCAAUGGAAUUAAGAUUUACUUUCAAAUAUAUGAUUCUUCAUAUUUUGUAGGUCAAGCAAACUAAAUUUAAGCAAAAUUUUGUGGGUGGUUUCGCUGGGUUUGUGGGUGGAUUCGGUAUUUUUGGUGGGUGUCGGUGGUGGUGGUGGUCUGGGUUUGGGGGUUUUGGUGGUGUCGGUGGUGGUGGUGGUCUGGCUUUGGGGUUUCGAUGGUGUCGAUGGUCUGGGUUUGGGGGUUUCGAUGGUGGUGGUGGUCUAGGUUUGGGGGUUAUGGUGGUGUUGGUGGUUGUGGUGGUCUGGGUUUGGUUUAGUAUGACUGUAUGAGUACUCUCUUAAGGAUAUGGUAGUAUAAGCUUAGCUGAUGCAUUAAAGCUGUUUGGCAUGUGUAGACUGCCUCAAUCUCUCCUUAUGCAGAUAUGGCGAUGAACAUAAGCUUGUUGGAUUUUCAGCAACAUUGCAAGCUAUAAUUAAUAUAGUUAUCUUAUCUUUGUAUAUAGCGAUCUUUACGUAAAUGUGGUCAAAUACCCUACUUUUGUAUAUAGUGACGUCUAUGA